rnacentral:lncRNA from 10 species
CAAAACUAUGUUGUGCUGCAGUAAUUACUAUGAAAAACUUCCAGUGCUUAAUAUUAAAGAAUAACCUCUAGAGUGUGUUCAAUGUGGCAAUUAUCUUCCUUCAAGAAGCAGAGAGUUUAAACUGCAUUGAAACUCAAUUAUACUCAUGACUUUUGAAAACAUACACUCCAAGUCAGGUUUCAUCACAUUCAAAUCACUGCAUGACUUGUUUGCUCUUCAUUUAUGUAAUUCAUAUUUAUCACAUUUAUACUGCUCUAACUGAAGAUGAGUUGCAUGUAUAUGAAUAAUUUAAUUCUUCCAUUCUUCACCCAGUUUCCUCUGUGACUGGAAAGUGAAAAGAACACACAAAAACUGGAGAAACGACACCACGCUCUAAUCUCAGUUGCCAUGACAGCAGCCUUUUAGAUACUGAAAUGUUCCGAUUGCCAGCUAAACAAAAUUGUUGAAUGUGAACAUUUGGCUGGAAGAUUAAAAGGCUAAGGGGAAUGCAAAAGGGCAGUACCUCCCACAUUCCAAGCAGCCAGUGAAUCCAAUCAAAUGGCUCUGACUCCUUAACCACAGCCAUUGUGAGCACUGGAUUAGGGCAAUUCAUCUAGAUAGUUAAAGCAGAUUAGAACUGCAAUUUGAAGACUAUUGGCAACAAAAGUAAAUGCCCUACUGUACUAAGUAAUAAGAAGAUUUCAGAACACCUUUUAGCGGAAAUAAUGUGAAACUACACAUUUAAAUAUCCUACCUUCUCAGUUUUCAGUUUCUUGAUUCGCCUGUGGCUCUCCUCCUCCUCCUCUUCCUUCUUUACCAACAUAGAGUUUCCCA